rnacentral:rRNA from 1 species
GAAGGCCUUUUGGUUGUAAAGCACUUUAAGCGAGGAGGAGGGUACUCUAGCUAAUACCUAGAUGUAUCGGACGUUACUCGCAGAAUAAGCACCGGCUAACUCUGUGCCAGCAGCCGCGGUAAUACAGGGGGUGCAAGCGUUGUUCGGAAUCACUGGGCGUAAAGGGAGCGUAGGCGGAACUACAAGACAGGGGUUAAAGAUCCGGGCUCAACCUGGAGAGUGCCUUUGUGACUGUGGUUCUUGAGUAUGGUAGAGGUCGGCGGAAUUUCCGGUGUAGCGGUGGAAUGCGUAGAGAUCGGAAAGAACACCAGAGGCGAAGGCGGCCGACUGGACCAAUACUGACGCUGAGGCUCGAAAGCGUGGGGAGCAAACAGGAUUAGAUACCCUGGUAGUCCACGCUGUAAACGAUGAACACUAGAUGUCGGGAGAGGUUUCUUCCGGUGUCGUCGCUAACGCAGUAAGUGUUCCGCCUGGGGAGUACGCUCGCAAGGGUGAAACUCAAAGGAAUUGACGGGGGCCCGCACAAGCGGUGGAGCAUGUGGUUUAAUUCGAUGCAACGCGAAGAACCUUACCUGGGCUUGACAUGGGAAUGACCGCUCGAGAGAUCGAGUUUUCUCUUCGGAGACAUUCCGCACAGGUGCUGCAUGGCUGUCGUCAGCUCGUGUCGUGAGAUGUUGGGUUAAGUCCCGCAACGAGCGCAACCCUCGUCCUUAGUUGCCAUCAUUAAGUUGGGCACUUUAAGGAAACUGCCGGUGAUAAGCCGGAGGAAGGUGGGGAUGACGUCAAGUCCUCAUGGCCCUUACGGGCUGGGCUACACACGUGCUACAAUGGCGACUACAGUGGGUCGCGACCUCGGAAGGCUUAAAAGAAGCGACUCGUGAAGUACUUGAAAACUUAACUGAACGUGAAGCAAAAGUUUUGAAGAUGCGUUUUGGUAUUGAUAUGCCAACUGACCAUACUUUAGAAGAAGUAGGUAAGCAGUUUGAUGUAACGCGUGAGCGUAUCCGUCAGAUUGAAGCGAAAGCGUUACGUAAACUUCGCCACCCU